rnacentral:rRNA from 1 species
AUUGAACGCUGGCGGCAGGCCUAACACAUGCAAGUCGAGCGAGCGGCGGACGGGUGAGUAAUGUAUGGGGACUGCCCGAUAGAGGGGGAUAACUACUGGAAACGGUGGCUAAUACCGCAUACUGUCGGAUUACACAUUUGGGAUUAGCUAGUAGGUAAGGUAAUGGCUUACCUAGGCGACGAUCCCUCGCUGGUCUGAGAGGAUGAUCAGCCACACUGGGACUGCGACACGGCCCAGACUCCUACGGAGGCAGCAGUGGGGAAUAUGGCACAAUGGGCGCAAGCCUGAUGCAGCCAUGCCGCGGUUAUGAAGAAGGCCCUGGGGUGGUAAAGUACUUUCAGUCGGGAGGCGGUACCGACAGAAGAAGCACCGGCUAACUCCGUGCCAGCAGCCGCGGUAAUAG